UUAGUCAAACAAGAUUAUUGUUAACUAAAUUGAAUUUUAUCUCAUUCAUUAAGUCAAAUCACAUGACAAUGGCAAACAACAGUAGGUGGCAAAAUCUUCCAAAGUCUUCAAACAACGUAAGAGCAUCAGUCAGGGGUCAAGAAAGUUGGUAAGCACAUUUCUUACUCGUCUUCCCUCAGUUUCAUUGCAUUCUGUUCAGAAAUGAUGGUGCUGUGUUGAUGCCUGGAAGUCUCUGUCAUACUGGACAGCUGCAGCAACAGUUCGGUCUGGAAUGAAUUCUCUGCUAGCUUCACAAAAGUUAUGCAAAACAAAACAGGCACUGAUGGCGAUCAUCUGAUCACUGAUGGAAGAUCAUCCAGAUUUAUGUCCAUUGCCCUCCAAAUCGCGCUUUUAAAUGUCCAAAGGAGCACUCGAUCACCAUUCUGCAUUUUCACAAUGACAACCCAAAGUACUGUCCCUGAGGAGUAGUACCUCCACUACCAUACUCUUUCAUAAAAUAGGGCAGCAGGGGGUAUGCCAGGUCCCUGAGGAGAAAUACAGGAACAGGAUCUUAACCCUCCAUGAUUACUUUUGGACAAGAAGAAAUCUUUCCAUCUCUCAAGUAGGCACUGUUGUUUGAAUUAGCAAAUAUGCGGGCAUCGUGAACACUACCAGGCCACUCAAUAACAACAUCCAUGAUUGUGUAUGUGUAAUCACAGGUAGCCUGCACAUUUAGCAAGAAUUAGCUUUUCCUGUUAAUGUAGUCAGUGGAGUUUGCUGAAACCUGUUUUAUUUCGAUAUGUGUGCAGUCAUUAGCUCCUAGACACUGCAGGAUGCCGUGUUGCAUAGAAGUUUGUGACAAGCGUCUGUACCUCUUGUUCUGUAAAUGGAAGUGAAACAUACUUGGGUCCCAUGUGAAUUGUGAUAGCCCUGCACACUUCUCUGAUUAUUUUAGACACAGUUUGUCGGGCUAAUCCAAACACGUUCGCCAUUUUCCGCAGUCUGCCUUUGUUACUUAAAUAGUACAGCGUGCAAGUAACCUUUGUAACAGCAUCCACCGGUGAUCUUAAUCGUGUUGUCUGGCCUUGAAUAUAAGGUUGUAACAGUUCACUCAGAUGAUACAGAGAGUCUCUAAACAUUCUAACGUUCUCGCGCCACUCCUCGGGCGCAACAGUUCCACACACAAAGUUAUCCCACUACGCACAGCAGCUUCCAGAUCUCACCCUAAAAUCGCCGCUCCAUAUACGGUCUGAAACACAACUGUCGUCUAGUUCAUCCGCUGAACAACAGCUCUGAGUAAACAUUUCGUCUUCUUUGAAGAAAAGCUAUCUGGAGCAUGUACAAACUGAUAUUAAUGUUUAACAGGGCUGUCAAAAUUGAGAGCAAACAAAACAACUGCUGUAUAAUGCCGUCCGCCAUCUUAGUUGAACUGGUCACAUGACUGCAUCAUAUGACUAACAUGCAUCAUCGUUUUAGAAAGACUCCAUUUUCGCAGUCCACACUGCGAUGCAAAAACAGCAUUUUCAAAUGUAUCCACUUUGGAGAGUGUUUUCAAAAAUCUCAGUUUUCCUUGACCAAAAACGCCGUCUCAGUGUGGACGGAAGUCGAGAAGGAGAGAAAAAGAUGCAUUUUCAAAAGAAAACGUAUUAGUGUUGACAUGGCCUUAGAAUCUCUAGUCUUUGGUUCCAGUGUUACUUAGAGUGCUUAGUCUUUUGGUUUCUGUCUCUGUGUUCCAUGUUUGCUCUGUCUCCCCUGUCACCUGUAUCCCCUUGUCAAGUCCAUGUCUCUGUGUUAGUCUCCCAUUUUCCAUUGACAGUGUGUGUACUGUGUCAAUGCUUCCUCCCUGUCUAAUUAUUCAGAGCUGUGUAUCCCUCCUGUUUGCCAUUUCCUCAUUACCCUCUGUGUGUAUGUAAAUAUAUAUAUAUAUAUCACUCCUGGUUUUCUACGUUCCUCAUGUUCCUCAGGUUAGCUUCUCCCAGUUUAGGUUUUGUUAGUGUUUCCAGUUCAUCCCUUCGUUCCUGUACACGUAGUGUUUUGUACAGCCACCUGUCAUGGUCCCUGUGCCUCUUCGGCUGGCUUACUCCAGGCCACAUGUUGUUUUUGUUUAUGUUCCCUCGCUCUCUCCUUAUUCUCCUCUCUGCCUGGGCAGAGCUCAUUUUGGGCUCCCGCCUUUGUCCCACGCACCUGGCCUGAUUACCAGCAGCUGCUGCUCAUUGACCUGGUUUCCUGCCACUACUUGAGGUGAUGGCUGUGAGCUUCUCGUCGCUGAAUCAUUGAACUGAAUAUCCUGGACCUGUCCCUGAACCCGUUUGGAGUGUCUGGAUGAUGGAGUAGCAUGGAGUGUGGAGAAGUGUAAGCAUGAGUGGCAGAUGAGGAGUGAGUGUGCGAGCAAGAAGAAGAGAAAGGAGAGCAUGUGGAUUUCCUACCUUCCCCCCUGGAGCCCAGGGAUCCCCCUUUCCCUGCACCUGCACAUAUAUUGCACCAUGGAGUUUAUUCCCUUCCCCACCUACCCAUCCUUGGAGCCUUUGCCCCUUUACCUUGUCUAUAUUCUGAAAAUUGCUUAUUUUAGAUAAACUUUUGAACUCUCUUUCCGUGAAGCUUGGGUCUGCACCUGACUCCGUUCCAUACGUCUUGACACCACCCAAAAUAAAGACUCGCUUUCAGUUUAAACCUCCAUUUUGUCUGCGCUUGGGUCUGCUCUCUCUCAUCUCCACAUCAUGACACCGUUAUUCUCAUUUUAGAA
ensembl:lncRNA